rnacentral:rRNA from 2 species
CACACGUGCUACAAUGGCGCAUACAAAGAGAAGCGACCUCGCGAGAGCAAGCGGACCUCAUAAAGUGCGUCGUAGUCCGGAUUGGAGUCUGCAACUCGACUCCAUGAAGUCGGAAUCGCUAGUAAUCGUGGAUCAGAAUGCCACGGUGAAUACGUUCCCGGGCCUUGUACACACCGCCCGUCACACCAUGGGAGUGGGUUGCAAAAGAAGUAGGUAGCUUAACCUUCGGGAGGGCGCUUACCACUUUGUGAUUCAUGACUGGGGUGAAGUCGUAACAAGGUAACCGUAGGGGAACCUGCGGUUGGA